rnacentral:rRNA from 1 species
GCUCAGAUUGAACGCUGGCGGCAGGCCUAACACAUGCAAGUCGAGCGGUAGCACAGAGAGCUUGCUCUCGGGUGACGAGCGGCGGACGGGUGAGUAAUGUCUGGGAAACUGCCUGAUGGAGGGGGAUAACUACUGGAAACGGUAGCUAAUACCGCAUAACGUCGCAAGACCAAAGUGGGGGACCUUCGGGCCUCAUGCCAUCAGAUGUGCCCAGAUGGGAUUAGCUAGUAGGUGGGGUAAUGGCUCACCUAGGCGACGAUCCCUAGCUGGUCUGAGAGGAUGACCAGCCACACUGGAACUGAGACACGGUCCAGACUCCUACGGGAGGCAGCAGUGGGGAAUAUUGCACAAUGGGCGCAAGCCUGAUGCAGCCAUGCCGCGUGUAUGAAGAAGGCCUUCGGGUUGUAAAGUACUUUCAGCGAGGAGGAAGGCAUUAAGGUUAAUAACCUUGGUGAUUGACGUUACUCGCAGAAGAAGCACCGGCUAACUCCGUGCCAGCAGCCGCGGUAAUACGGAGGGUGCAAGCGUUAAUCGGAAUUACUGGGCGUAAAGCGCACGCAGGCGGUCUGUCAAGUCGGAUGUGAAAUCCCCGGGCUCAACCUGGGAACUGCAUUCGAAACUGGCAGGCUAGAGUCUUGUAGAGGGGGGUAGAAUUCCAGGUGUAGCGGUGAAAUGCGUAGAGAUCUGGAGGAAUACCGGUGGAGCAUGUG